GUGGAUAAGAGUACAGGAAAAGAAAAUAAGAUUACCAUCACUAAUGACAAGGGACGUUUGAGCAAGGAAGACAUUGAACGUAUGGUCCAGGAAGCUGAGAAGUACAAGGCUGAAGAUGAGAAGCAGAAGGACAAGGUUUCAUCAAAGAACUCACUUGAGUCCUGUGCAUUCAGCAUGAAAGCAGCUGUUGAAGAUGAGAAACUUCAAGGCAAGAUCAACCAUGAGGACAAACAGAAGAUUCUUGACAAGUGUAAUGAAAUUAUCAACUGGCUUGAUAAGAACCAGACUGCGGAGAAGGAAGAAUUUGAACAUCAGCAGAAGGAGCUGGAGAAAGUCUGCAACCCCAUCAUUACCAAGUUGUACCAGAGUGCAGGUGGGAUGCCAGGAGGCAUGCCAGGAGCAAUGCCUGGGGACUGCCCUGGUGGUGGUGCUCCUCCUUCUGGUGGUGCUUCCUCUGGUCCACCACUGAAGAGGCUGAUUAAGUCAACCCAAGUGUAGAUGUAGCAUUGUUCCACACAGUGAAAUAUUGAAGGAUCCAAGUUUGUAGCAAAUUACGUGUCAGAUUUAAAGUUGGGCUGCUAUAGUGAAUUACUGGGCAUUCUCAAUACUUGAAUAUGGAACAUGUGCACAGGGGAAGGAAAUAACAUUGCACUUUAAACGCACUGUAUUGUGAGUGGAAAAUGCAAUGUCUUAAAUAAAGCUGUAUUCAAAAUUGG